rnacentral:rRNA from 1 species
UCGGCAAUGGAUAUCUUGGCUCUUGCAUCGAUGAAGAGCGCAGCGAAAUGCGAUACGUGGUGCGAAUUGCAGAAUCCCGUGAACCAUCGAGUUUUUGAACGCAAGUUGCGCCCGAGGCCAUCUGGCCGAGGGCACGUCCGCCUGGGCGUCAAG